rnacentral:rRNA from 1 species
GAACGCUGGCGGCGUGCCUAAUACAUGCAAGUCGAGCGAACAGACAAGGAGCUUGCUCCUUUGACGUUAGCGGCGGACGGGUGAGUAACACGUGGGUAACCUACCUAUAAGACUGGGAUAACUUCGGGAAACCGGAGCUAAUACCGGAUAAUAUUUCGAACCGCAUGGUUCGAUAGUGAAAGAUGGUUUUGCUAUCACUUAUAGAUGGACCCGCGCCGUAUUAGCUAGUUGGUAAGGUAACGGCUUACCAAGGCGACGAUACGUAGCCGACCUGAGAGGGUGAUCGGCCACACUGGAACUGAGACACGGUCCAGACUCCUACGGGAGGCAGCAGUAGGGAAUCUUCCGCAAUGGGCGAAAGCCUGACGGAGCAACGCCGCGUGAGUGAUGAAGGUCUUCGGAUCGUAAAACUCUGUUAUUAGGGAAGAACAUACGUGUAAGUAACUAUGCACGUCUUGACGGUACCUAAUCAGAAAGCCACGGCUAACUACGUGCCAGCAGCCGCGGUAAUACGUAGGUGGCAAGCGUUAUCCGGAAUUAUUGGGCGUAAAGCGCGCGUAGGCGGUUUUUUAAGUCUGAUGUGAAAGCCCACGGCUCAACCGUGGAGGGUCAUUGGAAACUGGAAAACUUGAGUGCAGAAGAGGAAAGUGGAAUUCCAUGUGUAGCGGUGAAAUGCGCAGAGAUAUGGAGGAACACCAGUGGCGAAGGCGACUUUCUGGUCUGUAACUGACGCUGAUGUGCGAAAGCGUGGGGAUCAAACAGGAUUAGAUACCUGGUAGUCCCACGCCGUAAACGAUGAGUGCUAAGUGUUAGGGGGUUUCCGCCCCUUAGUGCUGCAGCUAACGCAUUAAGCACUCCGCCUGGGGAGUACGACCGCAAGGUUGAAACUCAAAGGAAUUGACGGGGACCCGCACAAGCGGUGGAGCAUGUGGU